rnacentral:antisense_RNA from 1 species
AAACUAUUGGGAAUCUAGGAUGCCACUGGAACAUGUAAAAUGGCAGCUAAGGUCUAUGGAAACCCUGCAUGUUUAGAAACUGGCUAAAGCUUGAGUUCUCUUAUCUUUUGGUUAAGGGCACCACUUUAAGAUAAAAACAUAGACCUGAAUGGCAUCAUCCAGUAUCCAAGGAAACCAUGCUUGCUUGAAGAGUGAGCAAGUGAGCAAAGAGACAAGAUUACAUGUUUAAACCAAGAAAAGAAUCUUGAAAGUAAGUGUAAUGACCAAGAUGCAAAAAUCUGUUGGGGAAAUGGUUGGGAGGUUGGCAAAUUAUUUUCUUUCUCCCCUCCCCACAAACUAAUGUACAUUUCUGCAGCUAAUAUCAAGGUUUUAAUUCAUGUUCAGGAGCUAUGAAAUCUACUGUGGAAAUUUAGUUUCUAAACAACAUGCUACUCUGGAGAAAGACAUUCCUGAAAUAUUUGAAAUUUCUGCUAUUUCCUUACUUCGACUUUUUUUUUUGUAUCUGUACUAUCUCCUUUCAAAAUUAAAUUAUUUUCAAUAU